UACGAAGGGGGCUAGCGUUGUUCGGAUUUACUGGGCGUAAAGCGCACGUAGGCGGAUCUUUAAGUCAGAGGUGAAAUCCCAAGGCUCAACCUUGGAACUGCCUUUGAUACUGGGGAUCUUGAGUCCGGGAGAGGUGAGUGGAACUGCGAGUGUAGAGGUGAAAUUCGUAGAUAUUGGGAAGAACACCAGAGGCGAAGGCGGCGACCUGGAAGGUAACUGACACUGAGCAGCGAAAGCGUGGGGAGCAAACAGG
rnacentral:rRNA from 1 species